rnacentral:rRNA from 1 species
CCUACGGGUGGCAGCAGUGAGGAAUAUUGGUCAAUGGUCGGGAGACUGAACCAGCCAAGCCGCGUGAGGGAUGAAGGUACAGAGUAUCGUAAACCUCUUUUGUCAGGGAACAAAGGCGGGACGUGUCCCCGGAUGAGUGUACCUGUAGAAAAAGCAUCGGCUAACUCCGUGCCAGCAGCCGCGGUAAUACGGAGGGUGCGAGCGUUAUCCGGUUUUAUUGGGUUAAAGGGGUGCGCGGGCGGUCUGUUAGGUCAGCGGUAAAAGCCUGGGGCUAAACCCCGGCCCGCAGUUGAAACUGGCAGUCUCGAGUUGGAGAGAGGUAUGCGGAAUGCGCGGUGUAGCGGUGAAAUGCAUAGAUAUCGCGAAGAACCCCGAUUGCGAAGGCAGCAUGCCGGCUCCACACUGACGCUGAGGCACGAAAGCGUGGGUAUCGAACAGGAUUAGAUACCCCUGUAGUC